GACGAACGCUGGCGGCGUGCUUAACACAUGCAAGUCGAACGGAAAGGCCCUGCUUUUGUGGGGUGCUCGAGUGGCGAACGGGUGAGUAACACGUGAGUAACCUGCCCUUGACUUUGGGAUAACUUCAGGAAACUGGGGCUAAUACCGGAUAGGAGCUCCUGCUGCAUGGUGGGGGUUGGAAAGUUUCGGCGGUUGGGGAUGGACUCGCGGCUUAUCAGCUUGUUGGUGGGGUAGUGGCUUACCAAGGCUUUGACGGGUAGCCGGCCUGAGAGGGUGACCGGCCACAUUGGGACUUAGAUACGGCCCAGACUCCUACGGGAGGCAGCAGGGGAGAAUAUUGCACAAUGGGCGGAAGCCUGAUGCAGCAACGCCGCGUGCGGGAUGACGGCCUUCGGGUUGUAAACCGCUUUCGCCUGUGACGAAGCGUGAGUGACGGUAAUGGGUAAAGAAGCACCGGCUAACUACGUG
rnacentral:rRNA from 1 species